UGGGGAAUCUUGGACAAUGGGCGAAAGCCUGAUCCAGCCAUGCCGCGUGAGUGAUGAAGGCCCUAGGGUCGUAAAGCUCUUUCGCCAGGGAUGAUAAUGACAGUACCUGGUAAAGAAACCCCGGCUAACUCCGUGCCAGCAGCCGCGGUAAUACGGAGGGGGUUAGCGUUGUUCGGAAUUACUGGGCGUAAAGCGCGCGUAGGCGGAUCAGAAAGUUGGGGGUGAAAUCCCGGGGCUCAACCCCGGAACUGCCUUCAAAACUCCUGGUCUAGAGUUCGAGAGAGGUGAGUGGAAUUCCGAGUGUAGAGGUGAAAUUCGUAGAUAUUCGGAGGAACACCAGUGGCGAAGGCGGCUCACUGGCUCGAUACUGACGCUGAGGUGCGAAAGUGUGGGGAGCAAACAGGAUUAGAUACCCCCGUAGUCC
rnacentral:rRNA from 1 species